rnacentral:rRNA from 1 species
AACGAACGCUGGCGGCAUGCCUAACACAUGCAAGUCGAACGAGACCUUCGGGUCUAUUGGCGCACGGGUGCGUCACGCGUGGGAACCUGCCCUUAUGUUCGGAAUAACUCCCCGAAAGGGGUGCUAAUACCGGAUAAUGUCUUCGGCCCAAAGAUUUAUCGCCGUUGGAUGGGCCCGCGUUGGAUUAGCUAGUUGGUAGGGUAAAAGCCUACCAAGGCGAGGAUGCAUAGCUGGUCUGAGAGGAUGAGCAGCCACACUGGGACUGAGACACGGCCCAGACUCCUACGGGAGGGAGCAGUGGGGAAUAGUGGACAAUGGGCGAAAGCCUGAUCGAGCAAUGCCGCGUGAGUGAUGAAGGCCGUAGGGUUGUAAAGCGCUUUUACCCGGGAUGAUAAUGACAGUACCGGGAGAAUAAGCGCCGGCUAACUCCGUG